UACGAAGGGGGCGAGCGUUGUUCGGAAUCACUGGGCGUAAAGAGUGCGUAGGCGGUUAUGAAAGUUAGGAGUGAAAGCCCAGGGCUUAACCUUGGAAUUGCUCUUAAAACUACAUGACUCGAAUUCGGGAGAGGAUAGCGGAAUUGUCAGUGUAGCAGUGAAAUGCGUAGAUAUUGACAGGAACACCAGUGGCGUAAGCGGCUAUCUGGACCGACAUUGACGCUGAGGCACGAAAGCGUGGGGAUCAAACAGG
rnacentral:rRNA from 1 species